CCCUUAGAUGUUCUGGGCCGCACGCGCGCUACACUGACUGGUGCAACAAGUGUCGCUCCUUGGCCGAUAGGCCUGGGCAAUCUUUGAACGCCAGUCGUGAUGGGGAUAGAUUCUUGCAAUUUUUGAUCUUCAACGAGGAAUUCCUAGUAAACGCGAGUCAUCAACUCGCAUUGAUUACGUCCCUGCCCUUUGUACACACCGCCCGUCGCACCUACCGAUUGAAUGGUCCGGUGAAGCCUCCGGAUUGGCGCGCACCUCGGUGCCGCCGAGAAGUUGGCUAAACCUUACCAUUUAGAGGAAGGUGAAGUCGUAACA
rnacentral:rRNA from 1 species